CUGCAUGGAGCCGGCCUUGAAAUACCACCCUUUAAUGUUUGAUGUUCUAACGUGGACCCGUGAUCCGGGUUGCGGACAGUGUCUGGUGGGUAGUUUGACUGGGGCGGUCUCCUCCUAAAGAGUAACGGAGGAGCACGAAGGUUGGCUAAUCCUGGUCGGACAUCAGGAGGUUAGUGCAAUGGCAUAAGCCAGCUUGACUGCGAGCGUGACGGCGCGAGCAGGUGCGAAAGCAGGUCAUAGUGAUCCGGUGGUUCUGAAUGGAAGGGCCAUCGCUCAACGGAUAAAAGGUACUCCGGGGAUAACAGGCUGAUACCGCCCAAGAGUUCAUAUCGACGGCGGUGUUUGGCACCUCGAUGUCGGCUCAUCACAUCCUGGGGCUGAAGUAGGUCCCAAGGGUAUGGCUGUUCGCCAUUUAAAGUGGUACGCGAGCUGGGUUUAGAACGUCGUGAGACAGUUCGGUCCCUAUCUGCCGUGGGCGCUGGAGAACUGAGGGGGGCUGCUCCUAGUACGAGAGGACCGGAGUGGACGCAUCACUGGUGUUCGGGUUGUCAUGCCAAUGGCACUGCCCGGUAGCUAAAUGCGGAAGAGAUAAGUGCUGAAAGCAUCUAAGCACGAAACUUGCCCCGAGAUGAGUUCUCCCUGAGACUUA
rnacentral:rRNA from 1 species